AUUACUUGUGGCAUGCAAUGUGUAAGCAUUUCCUAUCAGCUCAACCCUGCACUGAGGACACUCCAUGAAAAGUAUGCCUUUCACAUCACUUAUGACCAUAUGGUGCUGGAUGCUGGAACUCUGCCCCUGGAAGGAGAGAAGUAAUGACAAUACUCACACUGACAGGAAAUGAGAUCUCAAAAGGCUAAAUUUAAGGUCACCUGCUACAGGUAAUAAGAGAUUCCAGGCCCUCUCUUCACGUCUGUGUGCCCAUGUGCGAAUUGUUCGGUAACCUAAAUUGGCACAAAAGACCACUGUUGUACAUCCUGCAAAGCCUUCUGUGGAUGUAACACUCUGAAACUGUGCUCUCCACUGAGCUAUGGAUUAUGGGAAGGAUUCAACACCAGCCCCUCCCACUUCUGUUUUUCUGUUUCCUAGGGAACACUCCGUAGUCUCUCAUCACGGUGAUAGAGCAUUCGGAUGGAUGUGGAUCUGACAAUACGGCACCCGACUGGAAGUGGUUGAGGAGCAGAUCAAUAAAAUGAAUUGUGGGUAAUCCUACUUGGGCAGUCUCCAAAUGUUUAAAAGACAUUUGCUGUUUGGAAUCUUUAAAAAACACUACUUAACAUAGUACCACAUUAAAGAGGCCAUAUUAUGUAUGCCCUUUCA